GGGCCCGUGGCGUAGCCUGGAUAGCGCGUCGGGUUGCGGACCCGAAGGUCCGGGGUUCGAAUCCCCGCGGGCCCA
rnacentral:tRNA from 1 species